UGUGUGAUUCAACUUGAUUUGAAUUUAUAAAUUUAUUAUAUUUAUUUAUUUAGUAUAAAUUUUUAAAGUAUUAAUUUUUUUAUUAAUUUUAAUUGAAAAGAAUAUUUUUAUUAUAGUUUAUUAGUAUAGUGAUAGAAUAUUAAUUAAAUUAAAUGUUUAAAAGAAGAAUAAAAUUUUGUACCUUGUGUAUCAGGGUUUAUUAAUUAUGGAUUAUUUAUUUAAUUUUUUCGAAACUAAAAGAGCUAAUUAAUAAUUUAUUUUAUUGUAGAAUAAGUAUUUAUAAUUGUUAUUUGGUAAUGAAACGUUAUUCGUUUUUGGUGAUAUCUAGUUUUUUAAGAAACAAAUUUAAUUUGAUAUUAAAUUUAGAUUGGUUUAUAUUUUUAAUAAAAUCUAGAUUUAAUUUUUAUAUAGUUGGGGAUUAGCUUAAUUAUAAAUUUAUAUAAGUUAUUAUUAUUUUUAAAGAUGAAUAGAAUUAGAAAUUUUUAUUUUUGUAGUAUGUUAUUAUUAAUCUUUAUUUUUUUUUGAUUUAUAUUAACUUUAUAUUAUUUAUUAAAAAAUUUGUUUUAAUAUAGUAGAUUUAGUUAUAAUGAUAGAAUUAGUAUAAAAUAAUUUAUAUUUAAUAUUUGUUUGUAAGGUUAAGUAUAGGAAUUCGGCAAAUUUAUUUUUCACCUGUUUAUUAAAAACAUCGCCUUUUGAUAUUAAUUUAAGGUUUUACCUGCUCAAUGAUUAUUUAAAUAGCCGCAGUAUUUUGACUGUGCAAAGGUAGCAUAAUAAUUAGUUUCUUUAUUAGGAACUGGAAUGAAGGGUGGCAUGAGAAAAUAACUGUCUUUGUUUAAUUUGUUAAUAGAAUUUUAUUUUUGAGUUAAAAAGCUCAAAUGAUUUUUAAAGACGAGAAGACCCUAUAGAGUUUUACAUUAAUAAUAGUUAAUAUUUAAUAAGGAAUUUUAAUUUAUUGUAAUUAUUGUUAUUGUUUUGUUGGGGUGAUAGAAAAAUUUAAUAAACUUUUUUUUAUUUUACAAAUUUAUUUGUUUAUUUGAUCCAUUAUUAGUGAUUAAAAGAUUAAAUUACCUUAGGGAUAACAGCGUAAUUUUCUUGGAGAGUUCUAAUCGAUAAGAAAGUUUGCGACCUCGAUGUUGGAUUAAAAUUUAAUACUGGUGUAGCAGCUAGUUAUUUGAGUCUGUUCGACUUUUAAAAUUUUACAUGAUCUGAGUUUAAAUCGGCGUGAGCCAGGUUGGUUUCUAUCUUGAAUUAAUUUUUAUAUUUUAGUACGAAAGGACCAAUUAUAAAUAAUAUUUAUUUUUUCAUGAAUAAUAUUAAUGUUACUUUGGCAGAUUAGUGCAUUAAAUUUAGAAUUUAAUUAUGUAUAUUAUUACAGGUAAU
rnacentral:rRNA from 1 species